AAAAAAAAAGAAAAGAAAAGAAUAAAGGAGAAAAGACUAGAAGAGGAAGGGAAUUCAUCUUUCCCAUUCAUUUUCUUCUCCUUCCCGUGAAUAUGCCUAAACCCCUCUUCCUCCAUCUUUUUUUUCUCUACACCAAAAUUGCUUCAAAAUUUCAUCUCCAAUUAAUUCCCCAUCUUCUCCCAACACCUUUCCAAAGAAGAAUUUGAAGAAAAGAAGGAAAAUCAAAGAGAAAUUUCAAGGGUGAGAGGGGAGUGAAUAGUAAUCAAGGGUUUGGAAAUUUGAAAGAAGUAGAAAGGAAAAGUGGAAGUUCCAAAGGGAAAGAAAAGGAAGAGUAGAGAAUUAAAACUUGUAGAAUAUUUUGGAAAUUCUAAGGUUGUAGACCCAAGGAAUAGUAGAUCAAGAUCUGCAUCAACCCAGCCAGAGUUACAUCAUCAUCUAUAUUGGGUGUCAAUAGAGCUCUGCAGAAAUCACAUUUUACCUAUAGCAAGAUGGAGCAAUAACAUCUACCAAGUCAUUUGCUGGGAGACA